UAUAAAGCCAUAGAAUACAUUCAUGCCACUCAAAUUCAGCCACUCAGAAUGAUGGGAAGGAUUGCAGAACUGAGUGUCACCUGACUGAUGCAGAUUCAGUAAUCUAAUUGCUCAUGAUGGUUUCUGAGAAAAAAAUUGACAGUAUUUUUCCAGUAUUUGACAGUGGGUCUAUCAUGCAACAGUCAUACCAUGAAGUGUCUCACAGAUUCUCUCUCAAUUCCUGCAAUAUCCAAGAAUACAGUGUAGUGCAAAGAGGAUUCAUUUUCUUGCAAUAAGAAGUAUCUGCACUUCCAUAUACCCUGGUACAGCGAGAACAGUUCCUGCAUUUUUGAGUGAUUAUAGAGUGAAAAUGUUUCCAUAUAAAAUGUUGUCUUUUUAUGUGUAAAACUUCACAUGUUAUGAAUGGUUACAAAUACAUGCAUGGCCAUUUUGAUUCCAAAUCUAUGCACAUUUUGAUACCAAUCAUUAACCACAAAAGUAUUUUAAAUUUGGUUUAAAACAGAAAUAUUGUCCUUUUGUUUGUUUCUAACCAGUAUUAAAGUGGUAUUAUUGAUGUUUAUAGUUAAAAAAGUCAGUUCUUUUAAAGAUGUACUCUUACUCUCACAUAAGAUUUACCACAAUUAAUACUAUUGUUUUAUUAUUCCAAAAGGGAUGAAUACAUGUCGAAAACAAUGGCUCUAAUGAAGGAUACCUAUUUUAACUUGAAGGAAAUGUGCAUAAAACACAGUAUAAUAUUUUUGCAUUGUCAGCUAUCAAAUACACCGUUACAAUCUUGUUAUCAGUACUAAAUAUUUAAUAUAAAUAAAUUGUUAAGUAAGUAGUUAACAGUCAAAGUAUAUGUUUGUUAUACAUGUGUAUGCAUUGAUAUUGAAUAAGUGUGUUACUUUAAACAGUUGCCAUGGUAACUAGAGUCUAGUUUUCUAAGGAAACUGUAAUUGUUGUCUAAAAACCUUAGUAUUUUCAAUGUGAUACUUUUUAGCAUGUCCGCUUCAGUCAAUGAAAAAUUUCUGUUAUUAUUUAUUCAUUUGGUCAUACUUUGUAUACAAUUAUAUUUAUAAUUUAACCUUAAAAGUUGCUGACAAUCUCAUACUUAUAUUAAAAUAUUCAGAACUGCUUUUACAAUUGUCAGGCAAAUCAAUGCAAGAUAUACAUAAUUCUUCUUUUUAACAAAAAGCGAUGUUUCUUAGCAUUUUUUGUAUUUUUAUUGAAUGGUUACCAUGGCAACUAAUUUCUUGUUUGCCUUUAAUCUUCCUAUUUACAGUCAAGCAGUAAAUGGAAGAAUGUAAAUGUUCUUUGACUUUUACCUUAUUGCUAGCUCAUUCUUCAAAAUAUACGGCAUUUUUAAAAUUUCUUA